rnacentral:rRNA from 1 species
GUAGGGAAUAUUGGGCAAUGGACGCAAGUCUGACCCAGCCAUGCCGCGUGCAGGAUGAAGGCGUUAUGCGUUGUAAACUGCUUUUAUACAGGAAGAAACGACUCUUGCGAGAGGCAUUGACGGUACUGUAUGAAUAAGCACCGGCUAACUCCGUGCCAGCAGCCGCGGUAAUACGGAGGGUGCAAGCGUUGUCCGGAUUUAUUGGGUUUAAAGGGUGCGCAGGUGGUUUAUUAAGUCAGUGGUGAAAGACGGUCGCUCAACGAUUGCAGUGCCAUUGAAACUGGUAGACUUGAGUAAAGUAGAGGUGGGCGGAAUUGAUAGUGUAGCGGUGAAAUGCAUAGAUAUUAUCAAGAACUCCAAUUGCGUAGGCAGCUCACUUGGCUUUUACUGACACUCAUGCACGAAAGUGUGGGUAUCAAACAGGAUUAGAUACCCCCGUAGUCCGG